GGUCAAAAUGGGAAACGUAAGAAAAAUCAGCAGUAAGAGAAAAAGACAAGUUUAUGCAAUCUGCAAUACUCUGCUGCUUUAUUUGGCCUUUGCUCUGCGAUGUGGAAGGUGCAGGCUGAUACUCACUUCCUUGGAGCCGGAGAGAAACAUUGAGCGCUGACUGUACGAUGCACAGCAGGCCGAAGCUGACUCCAACAACCAAGAAGACUUUGGACCAUCCUACAGGACAACACACACAUACAGCAUCUGCAUGGUUGUAUUACAUCCUAUAACUACUAAUAGUUCAAUGGAGAGCCUGUCCUGUAACCACUGUUCGACAAGUUCGAUAUAUGGACACUGAUACAGCCUCAUUUGUAAGCUAAGGACUCUCCAGAGCUCUAAAUAGGUUAAAUUUACUAAUUUUAUAGAAACGUAUUUCAAAGUGCUUCAAGAAAUGAAUCCAAUGAAUCCAAUGAACACACAUAACUAAAUAAAAACAUUGUUCAAACCUGA